GGGGCUGAUUCUGGAUUCGACGGGAUUUGCGAAACCCAAGGUGCAUGCCGAGGGGCGGUUGGCCUCGUAAAAAGCCGCAAAAAAUAGUCGCAAACGACGAAAACUACGCUUUAGCAGCUUAAUAACCUGCUUAGAGCCCUCUCUCCUUAGCCUCCGCUCUUAGGACGGGGAUCAAGAGAGGUCAAACCCAAAAGAGAUCGCGUGGAAGCCCUGCCUGGGGUUGAAGCGUUAAAACUUAAUCAGGCUAGUUUGUUAGUGGCGUGUCCGUCCGCAGCUGGCAAGCGAAUGUAAAGACUGACUAAGCAUGUAGUACCGAGGAUGUAGGAAUUUCGGACGCGGGUUCAACUCCCGCCAGCUCCACCA
rnacentral:tmRNA from 1 species